GACGAACGCUGGCGGCGUGCCUAACACAUGCAAGUCGAGCGGAGAUUGCAGCAAUGUAAUCUUAGCGGCGGACGGGUGAGUAACGCGUGGGCAACCUACCUUUAUCUGGGGGAUAACACAGGGAAACUUGUGCUAAUACCGCAUAACAUCAUGAAGAGACAUCUUUUUAUGAUCAAAGGAGUAAUCCGGAUAGAGAUGGGCCCGCGUCCGAUUAGCUAGUUGGUGGUGUAACGGACCACCAAGGCGACGAUCGGGAGCCGAACUGAGAGGUUGAUCGGCCACAUUGGGACUGAGACACGGCCCAGACUCCUACGGGAGGCAGCAGUGGGGAAUAUUGCGCAAUGGGGGAAACCCUGACGCAGCAACGCCGCGUGAAGGAUGAAGGUUUUCGGAUCGUAAACUUCUUUGAUGAGGGACGAAUAAAUGACGGUACCUCAAAAACAAGCCACGGCUAACUACGUGCCAGCCGCCGCGGUAA
rnacentral:rRNA from 1 species